UCCCUGGUGGUUCAGUGGUUAGGACUUGGCAUUUUCACUGCCAAAAGCUCGGGUUCCAUCCCUGGUCAGGGAA
rnacentral:tRNA from 1 species